GACGAACCGUGCGAACGUUGUUCGGAAUCACUGGGCUUAAAGGGCGCGUAGGCGGGCCGCCGCGUCCGGGGUGAAAUCCCCCCGCUCAACGGGGGAACGGCCUCGGAUACGGGCGGUCUGGAGGCGGGUAGGGGCACGCGGAACUGUGGGUGGAGCGGUCGAAAUGCGUUGAGAUCCACAGGAACUCCGGUGGCGAAGGCGGCGUGCUGGACCCGAUCUGACGCUGAGGCGCGAAAGCGUGGGGAGCAAACAGG
rnacentral:rRNA from 1 species